UGCUGGUCUGAGUGCUGUGGUUUCUACAAUUGAUCGAUCACAACCAGUUACAGAUUUCCUUGUUCCUUCUCCACUCCCACUGUUUCACUUGACUAGCCAAAA
ensembl:misc_RNA Y_RNA Y RNA